ensembl:lncRNA
CUCCGCUCCUUGCCGCUCCCGGCAGCCCCGGAACUCCCGCGCCCGCCCUCCCGGGCCCCGGCCGGAGAUUUCCAGUCGGCUCCACCCCAGCCCAUCCCAUGGGAUGCACGGAGAGGAAUCUCGGAGUGUCCCCCUGCUCCGGCUUGGAAGCAGCUACGGAUACUUUAUCUAUAUUGAUAUCUGUAUCUAGAUUGAUGGGGACUUUAUCAGGAGCGUUUCAGACGGGGCUGAUGCUGGAGCUGCCAUCCCGCAGGACGGCUGCAGGACGGCUGCAGGACGGCUGCAGGAUGGCUGCAGGAUGGAUGGCUGCAGGAUGGAUGGCUGCAGGAUGGCUGCAGGACGGCUGCAGGACGGCUGCAGGACGGCUGCAGGAUGGCUGCAGGACGGCUGCAGGAUGGACGGCUGCAGGACGGCUGCAGGACGGCUGCAGGAUGGCUGGCUGCAGGACAGCUGCAGGACGGCUGCAGGACGGCUGCAGGACAGCUGCAGGACGGCUGCAGGACGGCUGCAGGAUGGCUGCAGGAUGGCUGGCUGCAGGACGGCUGCAGGAUGGCUGCAGGAUCACUGCAGUGCCCAUUCUUGGCUCUGUGGGUUCAGUGCUACCUGCAUGGUGUGGAGCUGGUGGGCACUGGGAGAGCACACAAGAAACAGCUGAUGGCCUGCAAAAGGCUUCUAUUCCUUGCCACUGAAACACCACCAGAGCCCUCCUCAAACCCCAACUAUCCCCAAGAGCUGUUAAUGAGGUCGCCGAUGGCUGUGCUGAGGAAUGGGAAAUUAUUCUGGUGGUGCUGCAGUGACUGCAUCUCUUUGGGGUCCCAGUUGGGGUGAUCCACACAGCCUGGCAGCAGACAGCCCAGUGCCAGCUGGAUGGUGGCUGCACGAGGAUGUCACCCAUAUGGCCUGGGGACAUCGCGGCGUCCCCAGCCUGGCCAUCCCUGGAGCCAAGUGUGCUGGGGAAGGCAGUCAGGACCCUGCAUCCUCUUUGUGAGGCAAAGAAGGAAAUGGCCAUUUCCCCACGUGUAACAUAGCCACAGGAAGUGUCAGCUGCAUAUAUAUUUAUAUCCCUAUAAACCUGAUGGAGCUGCCCAAACCCCUUCACAGUCCCCCCAUCCAGCAUGAAAUUCCCUCUGACACUGCCAUCUCCAUUCCUAGUGAACACUGAGAGAAAUUUCCUAUAUAGUUUUGAGAGUUCUGAGUUGUCUCCCGUGUGUUUCAUUCUCAUUGGAGUUUUCCUUCUGAGUUUAUUUUUGGUAAAGCCUGAAACAGGAAAUGAAUUGAUGGCAGCAGCCUGGCUCUUAUUGCUGCUUGCUGGCUGAGAUAAAAAACCAUGUUGUUGUCCAACCCAAUGGCUCCUUCUUUGCUUUGGGAAAUCAGAAGGAAAUGAGAGGAAGAUUAGUGUUGUGGUGUUGAUGGAGGAGAGGAUGAGCCAAAAGUGUCACCAUGCUCCUCUGCUCCCAUGGAUAAUGUGCUGGUGGAACGGAGGGCUGGUGGCUCCAUCACAGACACUCCCACAACUUCUCCUCAGCCAUGGCCAUCAUGUUGUCACCAAAAGCCCUAUCUGUCUAUCAGGGAAGGUGGAUCCUGCUCUGUCUCAGGGGAGCACAACACCUGAUUUCCCCACACUAUAACUGGGUUCUGCGGGCUUUUCCUUGAGGUCAAAGUUUUCUGCCUGCCCAAAACAGCCCAGGAAAGCAGCUCAGAACAAGCAAGUAUGUAUCAUUCCCUGGUGGAACUCAUAGCUGCAGGGAGAUUGUUUGAUAGUUUUCAGCCUCUGCUGAACCCCUGAACAAGACCUCUUCACUGGUGUCUAUCACAGGGAGCUGUCAGUCAAAGAUAUCCAACAUGCAGUGGUGGGAAGAAAGUGUGCAGGAUGCCUGGAAAAGAGAUUUAUCAGCCCUUCAUGAUACUGAGGUGUGGCAAUGCCUCACCCAUGUCUUUCAUGGCCCAGAGCAUCACAGGACAUGACUGGAAGAUUCUGAGCUGUCUGAGCUGAAAAGACCCUGUUGAAAAGAUGCUGGAAGCAACAGAGAACCUCAGGGUGAACAUCAACUUGUUGUUUUUCCUCAGGUAAGGCAAAGCCCGUAGUGGAAGCUGCUGGAAGGACACAGGCAAACAUCUGAAGGAAGUGUCCAGAUGUCUCCUAGUUCAAGAGGGAUGUGAAGAAACGGAGGCCUGGACAAGAGAUAUCAACGUGCUCAUGGCGUUGGCAUACAUCACACCAGGAGGAGGGGGAAAGGCUGGGCUGGGGGAAGGAUUCUGAGAAUAGCCAGUGACUAAGGUCACAGAAUCCCAGAAUAUCCUCAGCUGGAAGGGGCCAUCCAGUGCAGCUCCUGGCCCUGCCCAGACCCCCCAACAACCCCACCCUGGGCAUCCCUGGCAGCGCUGUCCAAACGCUCCUGGAGCUCUGGCAGCCUCGGGGCCGUGCCCAUUCCCUGGGGAGCCUGGGCAGUGCCAGCACCUCUGGGGGAAGAACCUUGCCCUGUCAAUCAGCUUAAAUCUCCACAAAUCUACCACAGCUUCAUGAUGAGGUUGAACCCUUUUUGAUGGUGCUGGAUGAUGCAAUGGGGUAAAACAGUCACCAGCUGCAGCUUGGAAGAUUCAGGUUGAAUCUUGGAAUAAAAUUGCUCCUCAGGAGAGUGACCCUGGAACA